CACGCUUUCCCUCCUUCCCUCAGAGGAUGCCCUCCUUCCUUCAGAGGAUGUCCUCCUUCCAGCUCAACCUCAACCCGCUCAAGGAGCCUCUCGGCUUCAUCAAAGUCCUCGAGUGGGUUGAAUGAAGCAUCAUUUCAGACACCUCAAGAUGUAACUGUCUGUGGUGUAGAUUGGAAAAAGUAUGUCCUUAUUGGAGAUUACUCUUCUUCUGCGCAGUUCUAUGUGACUUUUGCAGUCUUUGUCUUCCUGUACUGCAUUGCCGCCCUUCUGCUGUAUGUUGGUUACACGAACCUGUAUCGUGAUAGUCGAAAGCUUACCAUGACUGACUUUGUAAUUACUAUUGUUGUGACUUUUUUGUGGUUGGUGAGCACUUCAGCCUGGGCUAAAGCUCUUACAGAUAUUAAAUCAGCUACCGGUUCCAAUAUUGUCCAGGAACUUAAGCCUUGUAAUAUUCAAGGAGUGGUGUGCCAGUUUGUCUCUGUGACUAGUAUGGGAUUCCUAAACGUGUCUGUGAUCUUUGGCUUUCUGAACAUGAUACUUUGGGGAGGAAAUGCAUGGUAUGUGUACAAGAAGACCAGCUUUCACAGUCCAUCAAAUACUUCUACUUCUCAAGGAGGUAUUCCUCCUCCAACUGGAAUAUAAUUGAAGGGAGAAGUACACUGUAUGAAUUAAAUGUCUGUACUAUGACCUGUUGCCAACACCUUGAGAAGCAUUUUUUGUUUCUAAUAAAAGUAAUGGCUUUUUCAGUAAAUUGAUGGGUUUAAAAUUUUGCUGCUUUUUUACAUAAAGCUUGUGCCUUUCCUAGAAAUUUAAGAUGUAAAUGUAUUCUCACAUGUGAAUUUGAAAAUUCAGGGGCCUAUUAUGAGAUGUGAUACACAUUUUUAAUGAACGGUAAUUUUCUUCACUAAGUUGUUUUCCUUCCACAGUGUUUACACCUUAAGCCUUAACAUAUAUCUUCACUCAGAAAAGAGUUUUAUUGUCAUAUCAUAAUAGGAAGAAAAUCUCUUUUGGAAUAUACACUACUGUAAGUUUGUACAGAUCAUAUUCCUAAGACCUAUCUUUGUUUAAGAAAGUCUUGAUUACAUAAAUCAUAUUUAGAAAGAAACAAUUAACAGUUUAUAUCUGAACAUUGUUUGUAUGUUAUGAAAAAUGCUUAAUUACAAAGGCUGAUGUAUGUUUUAUUUCUGUUUUUCUAAAUGACCUACAAUAUUUGGUAGAUGUACUAAAAUUGUUUAGGGAGUGGGGCUUAGAGAUUUCUAAUAGAUGUAUAGUUAAUUUGGUAAUUCUCAUGCAUGAGGUGUAAGCUUCUAUAUGCUGGUUAUUUAGUAGAUUUGCUACAUAAGUAAAACAUGGUUCACCUAGAUACUUUUUGAUAUGUAUGGGCAUUACUCCUAGUGAUAUUUGUUGGCUGUCUUUUGUUGCUUAUGCUCCUUCAGUGCAGGCUGAGACCUAGUCUCCUGCAAGUAGAGUAAAAUAAUCUACCUUUUUUUUGCAGACCCUAUUCAUAGGAUUAAAAAAAAAUUAAGAUUGCCUUUUACUUUUGAAACAUUUAUAUUCAAUGAAGUUUCUGUCUUGAGUUUAGUAUUGAUAUUGUGAAAAUGAAUGCAAUUUGGAUUUCACAUUUCUUAAUGUUUGUUCUUAUUUCACAAAUGGAUAAUUAAGGAAUUAUGCAUCAUAAAGAAGGAACCUAAGUGAGCUAUAUUAUGGGUGUACUGUCUUUGCUCACACAUUUGGGUGGCUUCUGGAAUAUAGGGCUCAUUCACGUUUUGCUGCCUAAUCUUUCUGUUGUACAGGGCCAGAUCUCCUCUUAGCCACAUGAUUGUUUUUAUAUGAAGCACAUCUUACUAUCGCCUUAUUUUGGUUGCUUUUGUUCACAAGAAUUGUUAAUAUAAGAAUGUGUAUCCACCUUAAUAAAGAAAUU